rnacentral:lncRNA from 1 species
UUGUAUAUAACACAUACAGAUGAUUAUAAUCCAUUCCCUGAAAUGAAUGUGAUAAUAAAGCCCGUAAGUAUGAACACGCUCUUGAUGUAAUUUUGUUUCAUGUCAGACAUUAUGAAAAGAAAGUUCGUUGCCCUUGAAAUCUCGGUCAAGAACUAUAUGACAUGGGUGUUGGAUGCUGAAAUCCAUUUGGAUGCAAUGGGUCU